rnacentral:rRNA from 1 species
AAUGCUACCUGGCUGAUCCUGCCAUCAGUCAUAUGCU